GACGAACGCUGGCGGCAUGCCUUACACAUGCAAGUCGAACGGCAGCAUAGAGAGCUUGCUCUCUGAUGGCGAGUGGCGAACGGGUGAGUAAAGCAUCGGAACGUACCGUGUAGUGGGGGAUAACGUAGCGAAAGUUACGCUAAUACCGCAUACGCACUGAGGUGGAAAGCAGGGGAUCGUAAGACCUUGCGCUAUACGAGCGGCCGAUGUCAGAUUAGCUAGUUGGUAGGGUAAAGGCCUACCAAGGCGACGAUCUGUAGCGGGUCUGAGAGGAUGAUCCGCCACACUGGGACUGGGACACGGCCCAGACUCCUACGGGAGGCAGCAGUGGGGAAUUUUGGACAAUGGGGGCAACCCUGAUCCAGCCAUGCCGCGUGGGUGAAGAAGGCCUUCGGGUUGUAAAGCUCUUUCGGCCGGGAAGAAAUCGCACAGGCUAAUACCCUGUGUGGAUGACGGUACCGGCAUAAGAAGCACCGGCUAACUACGUGCCAGCAGCCGCGGUAA
rnacentral:rRNA from 1 species